GACUCAGUCUGGAAGACCCUGUGCAGCAGCCCACCGGGCCUCUGCAGACUCCAGGCUGCAGAAUGACGGACACCACCGUCAAAUCUGUGCGCAGCCUCAACAACCUGCACAGCCUGGACCUUUCUCUUUGCAACAAGAUCUGAUUGAAGGUUCCUCAUCCACCAAACCGAGAGAGCUGCAGUCUCAUCACAGACACAUCUGUAAUGAGGAUUGCGCAAAGCGGACAGGAUAUAAACCUCGGCGUCACACUCGACAGCCAACUCUCCCUGACUCCCAACAUCACUGCGACAGCGCGAUCCUGUAGAUACACGCUCUACAACAUCAGGAGAAUACGUCCCCUUCUCACUCAG
ensembl:lncRNA